rnacentral:lncRNA from 1 species
AGGGGGGUUUCAGUUUUCCAUGGAAGGGGAUUCAAUUUUCCAUCUUUGAUAGGCUAAAUGAAUUCAGUAUAAAAUAUGAUAAUGUAUAAUGAAAUCUUGUCCGUUGAAUAACUUGACAUCUUUGAUAGACUGAAUGAAUUCAGUAUAAAAUAUGAUAAUGUAUAAUGAAAUCUUGUCCGUUGAAUAACUUGACAUCUUUGAUAGACUGAAUGAAUUCAGU